CCCGCCUGUUCAUCAACACAAUUUUAUGUGGAAAGUGGGCCUUCUUAAUGAAUUAAGAGUUUUGCCACCCGACCCGCCCAUCCAAGAUACUUCUUCCUCAAAUACGAUUUCCUCGUCCACUACGACUGAACCCUAAUCGCAGACACAAACCGACCGUGACAAAAUAUAGAGUGUAAAUCUCAGUUUAUUACAAGUUUAUUGGUUUUCAACAUUUAGUACAUGAAGUUUUUUUCGUUCUAGAGUCAUGUUUAAAGUGUUAAUUUUGGAACAGUCUCAUACAUCCGUUAGUCUGGCUAUUAAGUUUCCCAUUAACUAGUGACGUGGCGCCCAUGUGGACAAUGAUUGGACGUCAUGUGUCAUUAAAUGGUGCACGUGGAAAUUAAAAAUUCAAAAAAAAAUUCUCGUCCAAAUUUAAAAUAUUUAAAUAAAUAAUUAAAUAAAAGUAUUUGUAAAAAAAAAAAAAAAAAAAAAAAAAAACCCUGAACCCCCUUCUUCUUUCCCACCCGACACCCCUCCAUCCCCUCCACCCUUCCACGGCUCCACCCUUUUAUCCCCUCUACCCCUCACCCAUCGACACCCUUACCAUCAAGCACACAUCUAGACGGGUCAAAUACCCCAAAGCAAGCAGUUUUUGGAUUUUGUUUCACAUUGAAUUCACCAAAACCCUUUUUCUGGCUUUCCCAAAAUUUUAUAACAUUAUAGUCUAUAAUCUGUGCAAUAAUUCCUCAAGAUCCACAAUUCAAGGCACAAACUUUUGUCUGCUGGCUCUUUUCUUUUACUCUACCUGUGUGGAGAGGAACAAAAGCAAAGACAUGGAGGUGGGGGCAGAUGCAAAGAUAGUGGGUUGACUACACAAAAUCCUUGUUCCUGGAGGGUAAAAGCAAUAGAAAAAAAUAUGAAAUUUAAGCAUAAAUCACAGAUGGGGUUGUUUUGAUUUUGUUGUUUUUGCUUGUUUUGUUCCUGAUGUUUUUGUUUUUGGGAUUUUUUUCAUUGGUUGGGUGAAAGAAUGAGUUUCUGGAUGGUUAGUUUUUGCAGCUCCAACAACUGUAGGAUGAGAGCAACCCAAAUUUUGUUGUUGAAGUGGUGUCUCUUUUCUUUGAAGAUCCUGAGAAGCUUCUCAAUGAUCUCACCAGAGCUUUAAAUUUAGAGAUGGAUGAAUAUGAAUUUUCUAAAUUUUAUUCCAGUACAAGGCCUGGCGAUUUUAUAAUUUAUUGGCGUGACUGGAUUUCCAGGAAAAAACUUUUCUCAGUCAGCAGACCAAAAGACGAGCCAUCUUGUUUUGGAACAUUUUUCCUGACAAUUUCUUCUUCUUCUCCUAUUGGUUGCGGAACUUUUUAUUCAGUCAUUUGAAGAUCGGAGCUCUAACUUUUGCUCAUUUAAAAUUGUUCAGCAACUGCAAGUGCUUAAUAUAUUAAGUCGAUGCAGCAAUCAAUUUCACGCUUAUUAGGGUUUGUGGGUAUAUAAAGAUAUACAGAUAGAUGAAUACUUCUUAGAA